UACGAAGGGGGCUAGCGUUGCUCGGAAUCACUGGGCGUAAAGGGUGCGUAGGCGGGUUUUUAAGUCAGAGGUGAAAUCCUGGAGCUCAACUCCAGAACUGCCUUUGAUACUGAAAGUCUUGUGUACGGGAGAGGUGGGUGGAACUGCGAGUGUAGAGGUGAAAUUCGUAGAUAUUCGCAAGAACACCAGUGGCGAAGGCGGCUCACUGGCCCGUAACUGACGCUGAGGCACGAAAGCGUGGGGAGCAAACAGG
rnacentral:rRNA from 1 species